AUACAGCUGACGAGUCCUAAAUAGGGCGAAACGCACAUCCUGGAC
rfam:Schistosoma margrebowiei strain Zambia genome assembly, scaffold: SMRZ_scaffold0002826